ACACUCCUGCGGGAGGCAGCAGUGGGGAAUUUUGGACAAUGGGCGAAAGCCUGAUCCAGCAAUGCCGCGUGAGUGAAGAAGGCCUUCGGGUUGUAAAGCUCUUUUGUCAGGGAAGAAACGGUGAGAGCUAAUAUCUUUUGCUAAUGACGGUACCUGAAGAAUAAGCACCGGCUAACUACGUGCCAGCAGCCGCGGUAAUACGUAGGGUGCAAGCGUUAAUCGGAAUUACUGGGCGUAAAGCGUGCGCAGGCGGUUUUGUAAGUCUGAUGUGAAAUCCCCGGGCUCAACCUGGGAAUUGCAUUGGAGACUGCAAGGCUAGAAUCUGGCAGAGGGGGGUAGAAUUCCACGUGUAGCAGUGAAAUGCGUAGAUAUGUGGAGGAACACCGAUGGCGAAGGCAGCCCCCUGGGUCAAGAUUGACGCUCAUGCACGAAAGCGUGGGGAGCAAACAGGAUUAGAAACCCUAGUAGUCCCA
rnacentral:rRNA from 1 species